GCGCGGUAAUACGGAGGGUGCAAGCGUUGUCCGGAUUUAUUGGGUUUAAAGGGUGCGUAGGUGGGUUGGUAAGUCAGUGGUGAAAUCCCCGAGCUUAACUUGGGAACCGCCAUUGAUACUAUCAGUCUUGAAUACCGUGGAGGUCAGCGGAAUAUGUCAUGUAGCGGUGAAAUGCUUAGAUAUGACAUAGAACACCAAUUGCGAAGGCAGCUGGCUACCCGAAUAUUGACACUGAGGCACGAAAGCGUGG
rnacentral:rRNA from 1 species